UACAAUAUAGUGUAUUAUGCACACAGAUUUUUGGCAUCUGUAGAAGGGCUCCCCUUAUUGUAU
rnacentral:tRNA from 1 species